rnacentral:rRNA from 1 species
UACGUAGGGUGCGGAGCGAUUGAAUCGAAUACUGGGCGUAAAGCGUGCGCAGGCGGUUCGUUGUGUCGGCGGUGAAAGCCCCGGGCUCAACCUGGGAAUGGCCGUUGAAACUGGCGAACUGGAGUGUGGCAGAGGGGGGUGGAAUUCCGCGUGUAGCAGUGAAAUGCGUAGAGAUGCGGAGGAACACCGAUGGCGAAGGCAGCCCCCUGGGCUGACACUGACGCUCAUGCACGAAAGCGUGGGGAGCAAACAGG